CUCCCGUGCUGAUCAGUAGUGGG
rnacentral:piRNA from 1 species